rnacentral:lncRNA from 1 species
UACAAAAAAUGUUAUGGUCAGAUGUUAUACAUGUUAUGGCCAAGUUGAAUAUGAAAGGCAAAAUUCUUGGUAAUAUAAAGAAGGUAUCAGUCGAAGAUAAAAAGUAGUGUAAAGGCAAUAAAUAAAGUCAUCCAGCUAAUGCACAAGUCUUCGAAGGAAACAAAUAAAAGAUCGAAUAAGAUGCAUUAUAAAGUCUCUCCAUUUGUUAAUGGUAGCAAAAAAAUUUAUUGCGG